GACAAAAUUCUCCCAAGUACAAAUUCCAGUGGCCCUCCGCGAUAGUUCCAUGUCGUGGACCCUAUCCUCUGUGAUAAGGUUCGCAUUGCGCUAAAGGGAAAUUUGAGGAAGUCACAUUCUAGUAAGCCUCCACAAUAGUCCUGCGUCGCGGAGCUUAUCGGGGAGAGCAUAUUUUUUUGGGUUUUCACUUUAAAAGGAUGGGUUAUAACCCGAGCUAACCUCUCAUAACCCGAUCCCCCAUCUUAAAAUACCCCUCAAAUCCCUAAUUUUCCCCAUUUUUAUCUAAACCUACGCAAUAAUCUACCCCAAACUCUCUCUAAAUCAUCUCUACGCGACACACCAAGGCAACCUCCACAUUUUUUUUCAAUCAAUUUCAUCUCAGGUACUAUAGACCGCCAACAACGAAAGGGAAAGGACAUUUCUAGGACAUCUGAGCCCUCAAAGAAAAGAACUAGGCAGACUGGCCAGGUGCCAAGAGCUCCAGCAAUCUCCCAGGGUCAGUCAUAGAGAUAUGGAAUGAGAUGGGUCGAAGAAGCCGACAAGAAAUGGUAUGUCAAGCACAAUGAGAUGAAAUAUGAUCCGAAAGAGUUCAUCAAUUGGGCGAGUUUGUUGAGGGAGUACCCAAGUAUGGUGAGACAACUAGAGAAGUUGCAUAUGAACUUCUUGUUCGAGCAGCCCACAGAGUGAAACUUGCACCUUAUUCGAGAGUUUUAUGCUAAUUGGGACCCCAGGGAUCCCAAUUCUGAAGUUAAAAUCCAUAGACAGGUGGGUAGCUUUCUCAGCCCAUUUUGUAAACAAAAUUUUAGGAAUCCCCGAGGCAGAUUCAGUUCUACUGAAGCAGCUAAACAUCACUCCGCCAUACGCAGAUAUCAGACACCUUUUGUGCAGAAAUAGGUCUACAACUAGAUAGAUUUGAUGCAAAGAUAGUAGCCUUCACAUGACAUUUCCAUAUGCUCACUUAAAUAAGGAUGCACACAUAUGGAUAAGGAUUAUUUGCCAUUGCCUGAUUCUGGGCAAACACAUGAUAGAUGUUACCCGUGAUAGGGUCUUCUUGAUUUAUGCUUUGAUGCGGGACAAUAUCGAGAUAAAUACGGGUAUUAUGAUCUUAUCUGCAAUGAAGGCGGCGCACUACCAUCAAGGGUGCAGGUAUGGAUUCAGUGGAUUGCUGACCAGGUUUCUGAGGGAUCAAGCAGUUAAUGAGGAAGAUUAUAUUACAGACAAUAGUGAGCACGAUCCCGAUAGAUGUAACCAAAACUACAGGUUUAGAUAUGGUUCAUGGGCCGGUACUUACUAUGCCUGAGCGUCUGGCUUGGAAUGAUUAGAUUACUACACAGAUGUAUGGGCUACAAAUGCUCCAGCUGUGAGUGGGGGUAGAACAGCGGCGAAUGAGGAUAUUCGUGCUGUCGAGAUGGAUUACCCUCUCGGUCAUAAUUCCCGGACUUUAUUGUAGAUAGGCCCAGAGUUUGUUGAGCUUGUGGAUGACGACGUGCCUAUCGAUGGGGAGCAUCAGAUAAGAGAUUCAUAUAUUGAGUUAGAGGAGGAAGAGGCACUGGACCCAGAUUUUGGAGCUGAGGCAUACAAUCCAGAUAUCGAUGAUGACAUGGACAAUGCCUGAUCAGGGAGUAUCACACCACCUUAGUACUUAAUGAUGCCUGCAAGCACUAAGGAUAGUGCUAUAUUUUAAGUGUGGGUAUUGCAGGGCAUGAUUUUGGUGCAAUUGGACAUGCUUUUAUGCAAUAAUAAGGAGAUUUUGGACCAUGGAAGCAUUUGGAGUGACAUAAUGUACAUGAAGAGCUGGAAAAAAGGAUUCAAAAAGUAUGGAAUGAAGUGCCAGAGCAUAAGCAUCAAAUGAUAAAAUCCAGUUAGGGUCCGCGAUAGCUAUGCGUCGCGGAACCUGAUCUCCACUUUUACCUUCGCGUAUGGAGGCUGAUUAUUUCAAGAUGUCAAAUUCCAGUGAGGGUCCACAAUAAUCCCGCAACACGGACCCUAGCAUUCGCGAUUACUUCUGCAUCGCAAAGGCUGAUUUAUUCAUCAAGACAAAUUCCAGUAGAUGUCCGCGAUAAGCCCGCGUCACGGACCUUAGCCUCCGUGACGUAGUGAAGAGGAAAUUUGGGCAAAUACUUCCUACUAUAAAAGGAACACUUGAGCUCAAUUUUGGGAGACCUUGGCAUACGUAAAGUAGAGGAAAAACAAUUACAAUACUUCUCUUAGGGUUCUUUGAACUUUCAUCUUUCAUCAUUAAUUUUGGUCUAGUAAAUUAUAUUUCUUUGAUAUUGAUUUCGAACAUUAGUGGCUAAACACCCUUGUUUUGGGUUGAGACCAAGAACAUGAUUAUAUUUUGAUGUUCUUAGAGUGGUUAACAUUGAUUUAUUAUAUGGGUUAUUCUUA